GUGAGGAAUAUUGGUCAAUGGGCGGAAGCCUGAACCGGCCAUCCCGCGUGCAGGAAGACGGCCCUAUGGGUUGUAAACUGCUUUUCCAGGGGGCGAAACUUUCCGAUGUAUCGGGAUUUGACGGUACCCUGGGAAUAAGCAUCGGCUAACUCCGUGCCAGCAGCCGCGGUAAUACGGAGGAUGCGAGCGUUAUCCGGAUUUAUUGGGUUUAAAGGGUGCGUAGGCGGAUCGAUAAGUCAGUGGUGAAACCCUGCAGCUUAACUGUAGACUUGCCGUUGAUACUGUUGGUCUUGAGUGUGGUCAAGGUAGGCGGAAUGUGUAAUGUAGCGGUGAAAUGCUUAGAUAUUACACAGAACACCGAUUGCGAAGGCAGCUUACUGGGCCAUUACUGACGCUGAUGCACGAAAGCGUGGGGAUCGAACAGGAUUAGAAACCCGUGUAGUCC
rnacentral:rRNA from 1 species